rnacentral:rRNA from 1 species
AGAAUCAACGCUGGCGGCGUGCCUAACGCAUGCAAGUCGAACGAGAAAGUGGAGCAAUCCAUGAGUAAAGUGGCGACCGGGUGAGUAACACGUGACUAACCUACCUUCGAGUGGGGGAUAACCUCGGGAAACCGAGGCUAAUACCGCAUAACAUCGCAAGAUCAAAGCAGCAAUGCGCUGGAAGAGGGGGUCGCGGCUGAUUAGCUAGUUGGCGGGGUAACGGCCCACCAAGGCGAAGAUCGGUA